rnacentral:rRNA from 1 species
GACGAACGCUGGCGGCGUGCUUAACACAUGCAAGUCGAACGGAAAGGCCCUGCUUUUGUGGGGUGCUCGAGUGGCGAACGGGUGAGUAACACGUGAGUAACCUGCCCUUGACUUUGGGAUAACUUCAGGAAACUGGGGCUAAUACCGGAUAGGAGCUCCUGCUGCAUGGUGGGGGUUGGAAAGUUUCGGCGGUUGGGGAUGGACUCGCGGCUUAUCAGCUUGUUGGUGGGGUAGUGGCUUACCAAGGCUUUGACGGGUAGCCGGCCUGAGAGGGUGACCGGCCACAUUGGGACUGAGAUACGGCCCAGAAUCCUACGGGAGGCAGCAGUGGGGAAUAUUGCACAAUGGGCGGAAGCCUGAGGCAGCAACGCCGCGUGCGGGAUGACGGCCUUCGGGUUGUAAACCGCUUUCGACUGUGACGAAGCGUGAGUGACGGUAAUGGGUAAAGAAGCACCGGCUAACUACGUG